rnacentral:rRNA from 1 species
GACGUAGGGCGCGAGCGUUGUCCGGAUUUAUUGGGCGUAAAGAGCUCGUAGGCGGCUUGUUGCGUCGACUGUGAAAACCCGCGGCUUAACCGCGGGCUUGCAGUUGAUACGGGCAGGCUAGAGUUCGGUAGGGGAGACUGGAAUUCCUGGUGUAGCGGUGAAAUGCGCAGAUAUCAGGAGGAACACCGGUGGCGAAGGCGGGAUCCUGGGCCAGUACUGACGCUGAGGAGCGAAAGCGUGGGGAGCAAACAGG